rnacentral:rRNA from 1 species
UACGUAGGGUGCAAGCGUUGUCCGGAAUUAUUGGGCGUAAAGAGCUCGUAGGCGGUUUGUUGCGUCGGCUGUGAAAUCCCGAGGCUCAACCUCGGGUCUGCAGUCGAUACGAGCAAACUAGAGUGUUGCAGGGAGACUGGAAUUCCUGGUGAUAGCGGUGAAAUGCGCAGAUAGUCAGGAGGAACACCGGUGGCGAAGGCGGGUCUCUGGGCAACAACUGACGCUGGAGGAGCGAAAGCGUGGGAGCGAACAGG